rnacentral:rRNA from 1 species
CUGUGUGAAUUGCAGAAUCCCGUGAACCAUCGAGUCUUUGAACGCAAGUUGCGCCCUAAGCCAUUAGGCCGAGGGCACGUCUGCCUGGGUGUCA